rnacentral:rRNA from 1 species
UACAGAGGUCUCAAGCGUUGUUCGGAUUCAUUGGGCGUAAAGGGUGCGUAGGUGGCGCCGUAAGUCGGGUGUGAAAUUUCGGAGCUUAACUCCGAAACUGCAUUCGAUACUGCGGUGCUUGAGGACUGGAGAGGAGACUGGAAUUCAUGGUGUAGCAGUGAAAUGCGCAGAUAUCAGGAGGAACACCAGCGGCGAAGGCGGCGCUCUGGGCUGGAACUGACGCUGAGGAGCGAAAGCGUGGGGAGCCAACAGG